rnacentral:rRNA from 1 species
AAUCAACGCUGGCGGCGUGCCUCAGACAUGCAAGUCGAACGAUUAAAGCUCUCUUCGGAGAGUGUAUAGAGUGGCGCACGGGUGAGUAACACGUAAGUAAUCUACCCUCGAGUGGGGAAUAACAACCGGAAACGGUUGCUAAUACCGCAUAAUGCAGCGGCACCGCAAGGUGACAGUUGUUAAAGAUUUAAUCGCUUGAGGAGGAGCUUGCGGCAGAUUAGCUAGUUGGUAGGGUAACGGCUUACCAAGGCUACGAUCUGUAACCGGUCUAAGAGGACGGUCGGUCACACUGACACUGAAUAACGGGUCAGACUCCUACGGGAGGCAGCAGUCGGGAAUUUUGGGCAAUGGGCGAAAGCCUGACCCAGCAACGCCGCGUGAAGGAUGAAGUAUUUCGGUAUGUAAACUUCGAAAGAAUAGGAAGAAUUAAUGACGGUACUAUUUAUAAGGUCCGGCUAACUACGUGCCAGCAGCCGCGGUAAU